UCGAGUGGUGUGGAUGCUUAUUGGGCCUAAAGCAUCCGUAGCUGGCUAGGUCAGUCCCUUGUUAAAUCCACCGAAUUAAUCGUUGGAUCGCGGGGGAUACUGCUUGGCUAGGGGACGAGAGAGGCAGACGGUAUUUUCGGGGUAGGGGUGAAAUCCUAUAAUCCCGGGAAGACCACCAGUGGCGAAGGCUGUCUGCUAGAACGCGCCCGACGGUGAGGGAUGAAAGCUGGGGGAGCGAACCGGAUUAGAUACCCGGGUAGUCCCAGCUGUAAACGAUGCAGACUAGGUGUUUGGACGGCCACGUGCCGUUCUAGUGCCGCAGGGAAGCUGUUAAGUCUGCCGCCUGGGGAGUACGAUCGCAAGAUUGAAACUUAAAGGAAUUGGCGGGGGAGCACGGGGCGGGGGCGGCGGGCCGGGCGCGGGGCGCGGCGGGCG
rnacentral:rRNA from 1 species